UACGGGGGGGCAAGCGUUGUUCGGAAUUACUGGGCGUAAAGGGUUCGUAGGUGGCCAACUAAGUCAGACGUGAAAUCCCUCAGCUUAACUGGGAACUGCGUCUGAGACUGGAUGGCUUGAGUGCAGGAGAGGAACGCGGAAUUCCAGGUGUAGCGGUGAAAUGCGUAGAUAUCUGGAGGAACACCGGUGGCGAAGGCGGCGUUCUGGACUGCAACUGACACUGAUGAACGAAAGCCGGGAGGCAAACGGG
rnacentral:rRNA from 1 species